UUUUCUUCCCUUUUUCCUCAAACCCUUGCAUAUUUAUAUUUGAGCUCUCUUCUUCACUGAUCACAGGCAGCGGUUGCUCCUCUCUCUGCUUCCCUUCCCUUCCCUUCCCUUCUCCCUUCCCCCUUCCCCCUUCCCCCUAACUCUGCAUCGCUCCCUCACUCUCUCCAACCGUGUCAUCUGUUUGAUUUGAAGAAAGAGAGGCCGAAGCAGACAGGUCUCACAGCGGUUCACUUUCUUAGGACCUCACGCUCUAGACCUCCACACGCAAUAUCUCUCGUUUACUUCUAGCAGAUCUAUAUUGAGAAGGAUGGAUCCAGGAUCGCUUAACAAUAAAACUAAUGCACCCAGGAAGAUGAGAUUUGCACCCAAAGCUCCCCCGUGUCGAGCGCCGAAGCCUGAAGUUAAGACUGAGGCUACUGGAAACGAUAAUACUGCCCAGGCCAUGGAUUUGCUGCGCAGAAUAAAUGAAUGUUCCAUGAAUGCAAGGCCUAAGUUGAAAAAACGGUUAGUUCCUUACUGUUAUCUUAUGC